ACGGGAGGCAGCAGUGGGGAAUAUUGGACAAUGGGCGAAAGCCUGAUCUAGCGACGCCGCGUGAGUGAAGAAGUAUUUCGGUAUGUAAAGCUCUAUUAGCAGGGAAGAUAAUGACGGUACCUGACUAAGAAGCCCCGGCUAACUACGUGCCAGCAGCCGCGGUAAUACGUAGGGGGCAAGCGUUAUCCGGAUUUACUGGGUGUAAAGGGAGCGUAGACGGUAUGGCAAGUCUGAUGUGAAAACCCAGGGCUCAACCCUGGGACUGCAUUGGAAACUGUCAAACUAGAGUGCAGGAGAGGUAAGUGGAAUUCCUAGUGUAGCGGUGAAAUGCGUAGAUAUUGGGAGGAACACCGGAGGCGAAGGCGGCUCACUGGACGAUUACUGACGUUGAGGCUCGAAAGCGUGGGGAGCAAACAGGAUUAGAUACCCUGGUA
rnacentral:rRNA from 1 species